rnacentral:misc_RNA from 1 species
UUGGAAUGCUCUGCUUGAAUGUGGCUUGCUUAUUUGAGCUUCUUUUCGUUGUUCAUUUCUGAAUUUUAACUGAAAAACGUGUUUCCCCUACUUCUCUUUGUCCUUGUUUGGUCAUCUAUAAACUUUGAGUUCUGUUUAUUUAUGGUGUAAGGUUAUCUAUUUUGGUACAUCUGUUAACUUUGGAGUAAAGUUUAUCCCCUAUUUCUCUUCUGGCUGACUGAUCUUCUACUAAUUUCAGUUUCUUUAUUUUCCCCCCUCCUUUUGAAGGCAGGAAGAGGGGGACAGAUUUACAGUUUCAGUUUUCUAUUUUUCUUGUUUUGACAUAUUUAAGGGUUUUUCUUUUAUUUUUUAUUUUUAUGCGAACUGUGAAGAGACCUUUGAAAGAAAUCAAAUAGUUUUCUUUUUCCCUCAGAAAGUUUUAUGUGUAGUUCCUUGACUGAAAUGAAUACAGAGGAGUUUGUG